UUCCAGACUCCUACGGGAGGCAGCAGUGGGGAAUAUUGCACAAUGGGGGAAACCCUGAUGCAGCAACGCCGCGUGAGUGAAGAAGUAUUUCGGUAUGUAAAGCUCUAUCAGCAGGGAAGAGAAUGACGGUACCUGACUAAGAAGCCCCGGCUAACUACGUGCCAGCAGCCGCGGUAAUACGUAGGGGGCGAGCGUUAUCCGGAUUUACUGGGUGUAAAGGGAGCGUAGACGGUUCUGCAAGUCUGAAGUGAAAGCCCGUGGCUCAACCCCGGGACUGCAUUUGAAACUGUCAGGCUGGAGUGCAGGAGAGGUAAGUGGAAUUCCUAGUGUAGCGGUGAAAUGCGUAGAUAUUAGGAGGAACACCAGUGGCGAAGGCGGCUUACUGGACUGUAACUGACGUUGAGGCUCGAAAGCGUGGGGAGCAAACAGGAUUAGAUACCCGCGUACGC
rnacentral:rRNA from 1 species